UGGGGAAUAUUGCACAAUGGGCGCAAGCCUGAUGCAGCCAUGCCGCGUGUGUGAAGAAGGCCUUCGGGUUGUAAAGCACUUUCAGCGAGGAGGAAGGUGGUGAACUUAAUACGUUCAUCAAUUGACGUUACUCGCAGAAGAAGCACCGGCUAACUCCGUGCCAGCAGCCGCGGUAAUACGGAGGGUGCAAGCGUUAAUCGGAAUUACUGGGCGUAAAGCGCACGCAGGCGGUUUGUUAAGUCAGAUGUGAAAUCCCCGGGCUCAACCUGGGAACUGCAUUUGAAACUGGCAAGCUAGAGUCUCGUAGAGGGGGGUAGAAUUCCAGGUGUAGCGGUGAAAUGCGUAGAGAUCUGGAGGAAUACCGGUGGCGAAGGCGGCCCCCUGGACGAAGACUGACGCUCAGGUGCGAAAGCGUGGGGAGCAAAACAGGAUUAGAUACCCCUGGUAGUCCACGCUGUAAAACGAUGUCGAUUUUGGAGGUUGGUCUCAACUCGGAGAUCAGUGUCGAAGCUAACGCGUUAAGUUCGCCGCCUGGGGAGUACGGUCGCAAAGACUGAAAAACUUUAAAAGGG
rnacentral:rRNA from 1 species